GAAUUCGAAAAUUUGAUUGUGAGAGCACUGUUUGUUGUUCUUGUUUUCUGUAAAAUUUUAUUUAUAUAAGGUUUAUUUCAGCAAAACUUAACAAUUAUGAGGGUAUUGAAACUUUCUUUUGCAUGGAUGUUUUACCUGUUGUUUCUCCAUACAACAGAGGGUUUUUACUUGCCUGGUUUAGCUCCAAUUUCGUAUUGUGAAAAGCAAGAUAGUGUCGAGGGAAAAUGUAAG